GGCGGCCGGCGCCUGCAGCUUUGAGAGAAAAUGGCUCCACGCACGGGCCGGGCUGCGUGGGUCGUGGGCAGAGACGUAAAAUUUCCGGAAAUUUUGAAGCUAUGGAAAAUACCCGCGGGUUUUUUCCGUUGUUUUUUGUGUGGAAAAACCCGGAAAUUUUCAGGAAAAUUGAAAUAAUGCAAUAUUGGCACUUUUUACAGCUUGAAACUCACUUUGUUACUCCAGGAACAUAAAAGGGUUUGGAGAAUGAUUUGCUUCAGAAGCAGUUAUGAGACCCGAAAGGGGUAAUUUAGCAUGCUGUUGAACAUCAUAAAUCAGAUUUGAAACUCUCUGGCUCCAUCUACUGCAGCCAAACACUGGAUCAACAUUUUCAUCAAGCUAUGUCCACAACCACAAGAUCUUUCUUCAUCAGUCACCGCAAUCCACCACACUGAA